rnacentral:rRNA from 1 species
CCUACGGGAGGCAGCAGUAGGGAAUAUUGGGCAAUGGGCGCAAGCCUGACCCAGCGACGCCGCGUGAGGGAUGAAGGUCUUCGGAUUGUAAACCUCUUUCAGUAGGGAAGAAGCGAAAGUGACGGUACCUAAAGAAGAAGCACCGGCUAACUAUGUGCCAGCAGCCGCGGUAAUACAUAGGGUGCAAGCGUUGUCCGGAAUUAUUGGGCGUAAAGAGCUCGUAGGUCGUUUGUCGCGUCGAUUGUGAAAAUCUGAGGCUCAACCUCAGACCUGCAGUCGAUACGGGCAAACUAGAGUGUGGUAGGGGAGACUGGAAUUCCUGGUGUAGCGGUGGAAUGCGCAGAUAUCAGGAGGAACACCAAUGGCGAAGGCAGGUCUCUGGGCCAUAACUGACACUGAGGAGCGAAAGUGCGGGGAGCGAACAGGAUUAGAUACCCUGGUAGUCCGCACCGUAAACGGUGGGCACUAGUUGUGGGAACCUUCCACGGUUUCCGCGACGCAGCUAACGCAUUAAGUGCCCCGCCUGGGGAGUACGAUCGCAAGAUUAAAACUCAAAGGAAUUGACGG